GGGGGUGACCGGUUUCGACUGGUAUGUCGCAAGUCUGGGAGCAGGUCGAGUGAUGGCCGUAAGCCAUUACCAAAUGAACUGACAACAACUACGCUCUGGCUGCUUAAAUAAGCAGUCACCUGUCGGGAGGGGAGCGCUCGCAGAUCCGAGGCAGGUUAUCAACGCGGGCAACGUAUGGGUCCAGUCGGAUGAGGUAUCAUGGUGUUCUGUCGAUCACACCAGAUAUCUCCCGUAGAAAAAGAGAUCGUCUAAGCCUGUAGCCGCCCAUUCAUACACGGUAUGUCAGGACCGGGGUUCGACUCCCCGCACCUCCACCA
rnacentral:tmRNA from 1 species